rnacentral:lncRNA from 1 species
ACUUAUUUUCAAGGAGAUAAAGAGUAAAGUGAGUUUGGAUCACUACAAGGUGUGAAUUAACAAGUCAAAAGUUACUAGACAACACACACAUAGCAGUAGGAUCUUCAAGCUUUCAACAUAGAUUUGGAGACAUCAAAGCAUCUUGUUCAAUACUCUUCACCUUUCGAUUAUUUUUCUUUUCAUCUUCUGGGUAAGUCAUCUUCAACCAAUAACCAAAAUUUGAUCAGUUCACGAAUUUUAUUGGCAAAACAUUAAUUUAAUAUCUAUUUAUAGAAGAUCUUCUAAUAAAAAUAAAAGAAACAUAUCAAAAUUAUUUAAAAAGUAAAAUAAAAUUAUAUUUAUAAAUUGUUUAAAUUUAGAUUAAUUUUUAAAUACAAAUUAUUAAAAUUGAAUGUUUAUUUUAUUAUAACAAACAGUUUCUUGUUAGUGUAAGGUGUUAGAAUUGAAAAAAAAGGAAGGAAGAAUAACCCAUAAAUAAUAAACAAAGUCACUUGCAUUGAAAUUGAAAAGUAGCCAAUAAGAAAGACUCUGCAUAUUCAAUCUCUCACUUCAUAAUCAACUCUUUACUAUGGGAUACUCUUUAAUUACUUAUCAUAUUUUUAUUUAAGAUAAAAGAGACAUGAAGCACAUCAAAUUUCAAUCUUGGGGCUUUCUAAACACAUAUUCUGUUAUUGUUUGGUUCCAUGGACAUUGGCUCUAGUCUUCCAUUUUUCAUGUAUUUGGUAUUUAUUUAUUGAUUUUAUAACAAAAAAGAGCUAAAAGCUCCUAGCAGGGUAACAAAAAUGGUUCUGGAAACUGAUUUAUUCAGACUACUCAUUUUUUAAUAAGCAAGACACUAAAAUCGCAGCUAGACAUAAACAUACGGUACUCACGUGUAGACAAGCAAUAGUGCAGUACCAGCUUAAAGAGAGUUCUUAACGUGAAGAAGCAGAUCAAUCACACGUUAGCU